CGCGGGGUGGAGCAGCCCGGUAGCUCGUCAGGCUCAUAACCUGAAGGCCGCAGGUUCAAAUCCUGCCCCCGCAAACA
rnacentral:tRNA from 1 species